rnacentral:rRNA from 1 species
AGCAGCCGCGGUAAUUCCAGCUCCAAUAGCGUAUAUUAAAGUUGUUGCAGUUAAAAAGCUCGUAGUUGAAUUUCGGGAUUAAUAUGUUGGUCGUGCCUUGGUACGUACUGGCAUUAUUGAUUCCUACCUUCUGAAGAACCUCGAUGUCAUUAAUUUGGUGUCUUGGGGAAUCAGGACUGUUACUUUGAAAAAAUUAGAGUGUUUAAAGCAGGCUCGCGCUUGAAUACAUUAGCAUGGAAUAAUGAAAUAGGACGUUUGAUUCUAUUUUGUUGGUUUCUAGGAUCGACGUAAUGAUUAAUAGGGAUAGUUGGGGGCAUUAGUAUUCAAUUGUCAGAGGUGAAAUUCUUGGAUUUAUUGAAGACUGACUACUGCGAAAGCAUUUGCCAAGGAUGUUUUCAUUAAUCAAGAACGAAAGUUAGGGGAUCGAAGACGAUCAGAUACCGUCGUAGUCUUAACCAUAAACUAUGCCGACUAGGGAUCGGAUGAUGUUAAUUUUUUAAUGACUCAUUCGGCGCCUUACG